AGUGAACGCUGGCGGUAGGCCUAACACAUGCAAGUCGAACGGCAGCACAGUAAGAGCUUGCUCUUACGGGUGGCGAGUGGCGGACGGGUGAGGAAUACAUCGGAAUCUACUUUUUCGUGGGGGAUAACGUAGGGAAACUUACGCUAAUACCGCAUACGACCUACGGGUGAAAGCAGGGGAUCUUCGGACCUUGCGCGAUUGAAUGAGCCGAUGUCGAUUAGCUAGUUGGCGGGGUAAAGGCCCACCAAGGCGACGAUCCGUAGCUGGUCUGAGAGGAUGAUCAGCCACACUGGAACUGAGACACGGUCCAGACUCCUACGGGAGGCAGCAGUGGGGAAUAUUGGACAAUGGGCGCAAGCCUGAUCCAGCCAUACCGCGUGGGUGAAGAAGGCCUUCGGGUUGUAAAGCCCUUUUGUUGGGAAAGAAAAGCAGCAGGUUAAUACCCCGCUGUUCUGACGGUACCCAAAGAAUAAGCACCGGCUAACUUCGUG
rnacentral:rRNA from 1 species